UUUUUUCUUUCUCAUGACAUGUAAAGUAGUGUUCACUUAAUUUUUUUUUAUUAUAAGAUUUUCUGCUUGAAAUGGAGUAUGAGAACAGAUUCAGACAAGCUCAGAGACAAAAAUAUGACUGUCUUCUUUUUGAUUUAGAUGAUAUUUUGUAUCCACUAAGUUGUGGUAUUGCAAAAGCAUGUGGACAAAAUAUUAAAGGUGAUAUAUUGUUUAGUUUUUUACCAAUAAUGUUUUUAGUGAUGUGUUUAUGAUUUUUUUUUACAUAUUUUGUUGGUAUUGACUAAUUGAAUGCACCAUUGAUCUAUAGACUAUGGAACAACUAUGGUUGGUU